rnacentral:rRNA from 1 species
CCUACGGGAGGCAGCAGUGGGGAAUAUUGGACAAUGGGCGCAAGCCUGAUCCAGCAAUGCCGCGUGAGUGAUGAAGGCCUUAGGGUCGUAAAGCUCUUUUACCAGGGAUGAUAAUGACAGUACCUGGAGAAUAAGCUCCGGCUAACUCCGUGCCAGCAGCCGCGGUAAUACGGAGGGAGCUAGCGUUGUUCGGAAUUACUGGGCGUAAAGCGUACGUAGGCGGUUAUUCAAGUCAGAGGUGAAAGCCCGGGGCUCAACCCCGGAACGGCCUUUGAAACUAGGUAGCUAGAAUCUUGGAGAGGUCAGUGGAAUUCCGAGUGUAGAGGUGAAAUUCGUAGAUAUUCGGAAGAACACCAGUGGCGAAGGCGACUGACUGGACAAGUAUUGACGCUGAGGUACGAAAGCGUGGGGAGCAAACAGGAUUAGAUACCCUGGUAGUCCACGCCGUAAACGAUGAUAACUAGCUGUCCGGGCACUUGGUGCCUGGGUGGCGCAGCUAACGCAUUAAGUUAUCCGCCUGGGGAGUACGGUCGCAAGNUUAAAACUCAAAGGAAUUGACGG